rnacentral:tRNA from 1 species
UUCCUGAUAGCUCAGUUGGUAAAGAAUCUGCCUGUAAUGCAGGAGACCCAGGUUCGAUUCCUAAGUCGGGAA